GAUGAACGCUGGCGGCGUGCCUAAUACAUGCAAGUCGAGCGAACGGACGAGAAGCUUGCUUCUCUGAUGUUAGCGGCGGACGGGUGAGUAACACGUGGAUAACCUACCUAUAAGACUGGGAUAACUUCGGGAAACCGGAGCUAAUACCGGAUAAUAUUUUGAACCGCAUGGUUCAAAAGUGAAAGACGGUCUUGCUGUCACUUAUAGAUGGAUCCGCGCUGCAUUAGCUAGUUGGUAAGGUAACGGCUUACCAAGGCAACGAUGCAUAGCCGACCUGAGAGGGUGAUAGGCCACACUGGAACUUAGACACGGUCCAUACUCCUACGGGAGGCAGCAGUAGGGAAUCUUCCGCAAUGGGCGAAAGCCUGACGGAGCAACGCCGCGUGAGUGAUGAAGGUCUUCGGAUCGUAAAACUCUGUUAUUAGGGAAGAACAUAUGUGUAAGUAACUGUGCACAUCUUGACGGUACCUAAUCAGAAAGCCACGGCUAACUACGUG
rnacentral:rRNA from 1 species